GCUCUCUGGCUGCUACGAGGAAGGAUAUGGUAACUUAGGGCCUCUAGUGCUGGUCUGUCUACUGAAAUGCUGCCCGGCUGAAGACUAGGAGGGAGCAGGGCAUGUCUGUGGGUUUUGCCUUUCAUGGGGUCUUGAAUGACCAGAGAGAGACUGGAUGUGGCUCUCUCUCAGGCUCCAGGGGGAAAUUUGAGAUAUUUCCCCUCUUUUCUCCCUCUACAACUCCUCACUUUUUUCUUUUUACAUUCUUCCUUUACUGCUCUAUUCACAAUGGUAAGAUUACAGGUGUUGCUGUUUGAUUUCCUUCUCAGUCCCCUCCCUUUUUACCCUCCUACAUACUCCCUCUCCCUCUUUUGUCCCACAUUUUUACCUGCUCCCACCGCCAUACAACCUUUCCCGCUCUCGCAACCCACUAAUCCCAUGACAUUUGCAUCAAGUGAUGUUUGCUUUGCUUGUUUCAGAGCAAAACCCUUUCUUUAAGCUUGUUCUGACAACAAUGGAGGCUAUAUAUUUUGAACAUGAAGAAAGAAUUUAAACAAGAUUUUAUUUGUAGACUACAAUGAAUUAAAUCAAAUCUCUACUACUGAAAGUAAUGUGGAUACCUUACUAAUAGCUAAUGUAAUCAGACAGUAUGUAUUUGGUGAAAUAACACAAGACCAAUUUUGAAAUGGUGCAGGAACAGUGUGAAUUGUGCACAGUGCAUACAGUUUGUACGUAGGAUGUUAUGUAAUGUAUAAUGUUUGCCAUGAAGUGUCAUUGAGGGCAUUCAAUGUUGGUGGCAGUUUGCCAAUGUGGCAAUGAUAAGGUGAUCUUGAGGCAUAUUAGUCGAGACAUGGGAGUAAUCAUCUUCUGAAAUUCCUGCCAUUGUGUUACUCUAGAAUACUACAUUACCUGCGUAAUACAGUAGCGUUUUGAUACCGCUGCGGCCUGACUUUGCGAGGGCCCAGUGGCCUACCAUACUUUGUUUUAGCUAACAGCGCAGGUGCAUAACUUCAAGGAAUCUUUGUAAAACCACAGCCUCUUAAAUUAUAGUUUAUGUUCUUGGAUCAUAAAAAAGCACAGUUGUGAUGUUUGGAUAAUUAUUAACAAUGACUUAGCCUACUGAUGUGGUUGCAAAAUUAUAGAAUAAAAACAUCAAAGAAAUCCGACAGGGUUUGGUAAACACA
rnacentral:lncRNA from 1 species